GACGUAGGGCGCGAGCGUUGUCCGGAUUUAUUGGGCGUAAAGAGCUCGUAGGCGGCUUGUUGCGUCGACCGUGAAAACCCGCGGCUUAACUGUGGGCUUGCGGUCGAUACGGGCGGGCUGGAGUUCGGUAGGGGAGACUGGAAUUCCUGGUGUAGCGGUGAAAUGCGCAGAUAUCAGGAGGAACACCGGUGGCGAAGGCGGGUCUCUGGGCCGAUACUGACGCUGAGGUGCGAAAGCGUGGGGAGCAAACAGG
rnacentral:rRNA from 1 species